rnacentral:rRNA from 1 species
GUGAGGAAUUUUGCGCAAUAGGGGAAACCCUGACGCAGCAACGCCGCGUGAGUGAAGAAGGCCUUCGGGUCGUAAAGCUCUGUCAAGCGGGACAAAGUCCUGUGAGUGAAUAGCUCGCAGGAGUGAUGGUACUGCUAGAGGAAGCACCGGCUAACUCCGUGCCAGCAGCCGCGGUAAUACGGAGGGUGCAAGCGUUGUUCGGAAUUACUGGGCGUAAAGCGCGUGCAGGCGGUUCGGUAAGUCAGAUGUGAAAGCCCUGGGCUCAACCCAGGAAGUGCAUUUGAAACUGCCGUGCUAGAGUAUGGGAGAGGAGAGUGGAAUUCCCAGUGUAGAGGUGAAAUUCGUAGAUAUUGGGAGGAACACCCGUGGCGAAGGCGACUCUCUGGACCAAUACUGACGCUGAGACGCGAAAGCGUGGGGAGCAAACAGGAUUAGAAACCCGUGUAGUCC